rnacentral:rRNA from 1 species
GGUAAUGCCGGAUGCUCCAGUUGAUCGCAUGGUCUUCUGGGAAAGCUUUCGCGGUAUGGGAUGGGGUCGCGUCCUAUCAGCUUGACGGCGGGGUAACGGCCCACCGUGGCUUCGACGGGUAGCCGGCCUGAGAGGGCGACCGGCCACAUUGGGACUGAGAUACGGCCCAGACUCCUACGGGAGGCAGCAGUGGGGAAUAUUGCACAAUGGGCGCAAGCCUGAUGCAGCGACGCCGCGUGAGGGAUGGAGGCCUUCGGGUUGUAAACCUCUUUUAUCGGGGAGCAAGCGAGAGUGAGUUUACCCGUUGAAUAAGCACCGGCUAACUACGUGCCAGCAGCCGCGGUAAUACGUAGGGUGCAAGCGUUAUCCGGAAUUAUUGGGCGUAAAGGGCUCGUAGGCGGUUCGUCGCGUCCGGUGUGAAAGUCCAUCGCUUAACGGUGGAUCCGCGCCGGGUACGGGCGGGCUUGAGUGCGGUAGGGGAGACUGGAAUUCCCGGUGUAACGGUGGAAUGUGUAGAUAUCGGAAAAGAACACCA